rnacentral:tRNA from 1 species
GCGGCUAUAGCACAAUGGUUAGUGCACCUGGUUGUGGUCCAGGCUAUGAGAGUUCGAUUCUCUCUAGUCGCC